CCCCACCUGUCCAUGGACCUAGACCACACCAGCACCACCAAGAAAAGUCACUGCCGGGCGGCAGCACCAACAUCCGAGAGCAGCGGCAAGCACCUUGCAGCUGCAGCUCCCAUGGCUGCCGCUCCAGUGUCCGUUCCCCGCAUCAAGCUCGGCUCACAGGGGCUGGAGGUCUCCGCGCAGGGCCUCGGCUGCAUGGGCAUGUCCGCCUUCUACGGCCCGCCUAAGCCGGAGCCCGACAUGAUCAAGCUCAUCCACCACGCCGUCGCCGCCGGAGUCACCUUCCUCGACACUUCCGACGUCUACGGCCCGCACACCAACGAGAUCCUCCUCGGAAAGGCGCUGCAAGGCGGGGUGCGGGAGAAGGUGGAGCUGGCCACCAAGUUCGGCAUCUCCUUCGCCGACGGCAAGCGCGAGGUCCGCGGGGACCCGGCGUACGUGCGGGCGGCGUGCGAGGGCAGCCUCAAGCGACUGGGCGUGGACUGCGUCGACCUCUACUACCAGCACCGCAUCGACAAGAGGGUGCCCAUAGAGGUCACGAUGGGUGAACUCAAGAAGCUAGUUCAAGAAGGAAAGAUAAAGUACAUUGGAUUAUCUGAAGCAUCCGCGUCAACAAUUAGAAGAGCUCAUGCAGUCCAUCCUAUUACUGCAGUUCAACUUGAAUGGUCAUUAUGGUGUAGAGAUGUAGAAGAAGAUAUAAUUCCCACUUGCAGGGAACUUGGAAUUGGAAUUGUGGCUUACAGUCCACUGGGCAGGGGGUUCUUGUCCAGUGGGGCAAAACUCGUUGAAUCACUGUCCGAGCAGGAUUUCCGAAAGUAUAUGCCUCGGUUUCAACCAGAGAACCUUGAUAAGAACGCUCAGAUAUUCGAACGUGUCAAGGCAAUGGCCGCAAGAAAAGGUUGCACACCAUCGCAACUUGCAUUGGCUUGGGUUCACCAUCAGGGAUAUGAUGUUUGCCCCAUACCAGGCACAACAAAAAUAGAGAAUUUCAACCAGAAUGUGGGGGCACUGUCUGUGAAGCUAACACCAGAUGAGAUGGCCGAACUCGAGUCGUACGCUGCUGCAGGUGAAGUCAUGGGUGAUCGUUUCAGAUGGACAACACCUGGAAGGAUUCUGAGACACCUCCAUUGUCAUCUUGGAAACCUGAAUAGUUCAAUACAAUAUCUUGAACUGCCGUAUCUACAAGUUGUUGGACUGCAGAAGAUGCUCUGGUCUUCGUUACAACUUACAAGAGCGUCCAUAUGAUGUGCUUGUCUUUGCAUGUCAUGAUGUGUGGUAGUGAGUGUGCAGUACAUACCUCCGGCCGGUCCUAUAUCCGUGCUCUAGUGGCGUGAUGAAUAAGCUUGUGCACUUUAUCAGGACAUAGUACAAGUACAUUGAAUUUUACAAUAGAUGGCGGUGCACUUUUGUUGAUAA